ensembl:lncRNA
GUAGACUGAGUACAGUUGAUGCACCCGAAAUAACUUAUGUGCGCAGCAAUCCUGAGACGUGAUUUUUAGUUUGGACAUGCCUACUAACGUCCUCUUUGAUCCCGGGAAAUUUGAGCACCUAACCCAUCUCUCGUACGAAGAUAUUGGCGGAAGUUUUUUCACCAAGGGAAGAUCUUGAUUUUAUCAUAUAACUAGAAAAUGCAUUUCCUGAAGGAAAUACCAGUGCAUGAAAUGCAAAAGUUAAGAAAGGAAGGAGAAAAGAAAGAAGAGUGAAAGGAAAGAAGAGUAAAAGAAGGAAAGAAGAGUGGAAGAAGGAAAGAAGAAAGGAAAGAAGAGUGGAAGAAGGAAAGAAAGAAGUGUGAAAAGAAAGAAGUGUGAAAGAAGGAAAGAAGAGUGAAGAAAGGAAAGAAGGGUGGAAAAAGGAAAGAAGAAAAGAAAGAAGAUUGAAAGAAGGAAAUAAGAAAGGAAAGAAGAGUGAAAGAAGGAAAGAAGAAGGAAGGAAGAGUGGAAGAAGGAAAGAAGAAAAGAAAGAAGAGUGAAGAAAGGAAAGAAGAGUAGAAGAAGGAAAGAAGAGUGGAAGAAGGAAAGAAGAAAGGAACAAAGAGUGAAGAAAGGAAAGAAAAGUGGAAGAAGGAAAGAAGAGUGGAAGAAAAGAAAGAAGAGUGAAGAAAGGAAAGAAGAGUCGAAAAAGGAAAGAAGAAAAGAAAGAAGAUUGAAAGAAGGAAAGAAGAGUGAAAGAAGGAAUGAAGAGUGGAAGAAGGAAAGAAGAAAAGAAAGAAGAGUGAAAGAAAGGAAAGAAGAGUGGAAGAAGGAAAGAAGAAAAGAAAGAAGAGUGAAAGAAGAGUGGAAGAAGGAAAGAAGAAAAGAAAGAAGAGUGAAGAAAGGAAAGAAGAGUAGAAGAAGGAAAGAAGAAAAGAAAGAAGAGUGAAAGAAGGAAAGAAGAAAGGAAUAAGAGUGAAAGAAGGAAAAAAGAUUGUAAGCAGGAAAGAAGAGUGGAGGAAGGAAAGAAGAAAGGAAGAAAAGAAAGAAGAGUGAAGAAAGGAAAGAAGAGUGGAAAAAGGAAAGAAGAAAAGAAAGAAGAUUGAAAGAAGGAAAGAAGAAAGGAAAGAAGAGUGAAAGAAGGAAAGAAGAGUGGAAGAAGAAAAGAAAGAAGAGUGGAAGAAGGAAAGAAGAAAGGAAAGAAGAAGAAAAGAAAGAAGUGAAAGAAGGAAAGAAGAAAGGAAAGAAGAGUGAACAAGAGUGGCUCUGGAUAAAGACAGUAAAGAGAGAGUAAAGAGGGAAAAUAUUGAAAGAAGGAGAGAAAAUGGAGUGAAGCAGAGAGAUGGAGUGUGAGAGAAAGUAGAGUGAGAGGGAUAGAGAGAAAGAUAGAGAGAAAAAAAAGUAGAGUAGGGAAUGUGUCUGUUAAUAUUCCUAGUUAUACAGUUGAAUGGAGAGGUACAGAGAGAAGAGGAGCCUUGGAACCUUGGCGCAGGUGUCAGUGAAGCACAGGUGCAAGCCAGUUUAAUGACCCUAUUAUGAUGUCAUAAUGGCCCAAUGUAAGUCAAUGGGAAAAUUUGUAUUCGUUUUUCUUUAAUAUCUUAAAAAGUAUAACGUUUAGACAAAUGAAAAAUACAUAGCAUAAGUGUCCUUAACAAGACCUAUGCAGCAUACGUUAAGCGGUUCAAGCUGAAUUAAGCGCAGAAGUCGGUAAAGAGAAUAAUAACUACAAAAUGCAUUUCCUGAAGGAAAUACCAGUGCAUGAAAUGCAAAAGUUAAGAAAGGAAGAAGAAAAGAAAGAAGAGUGAAAGAAGGAAAGAAGAAAGGAAAGAAGAGCAAAUCAAGGAAAGAAGAGUGUAAGAAGGAAAGAAUAGUGUAAGAAGGAAAGAGGAAGAGAAAGAAGAGUGUAAGAAGGAAAGAAGAAAGGAAAGAAGAGUGGAAGAAGGAAAAAAGAAAAGAAAGAAGAGUGAAGAAAGGAAAAAAGAGAGGAAGAAGGAAAGUAGAAAAGAAAGAAGAGUGAAAGAAGGAAAGAAGAGUGGAAAAAGGAAAGAAGAGUGGAAGAAGAAAGGAAAGAAGAGUGAACAAGAGUGGCUAUAGAUAAAGAGAUAUAUACUGAAGAGGGAAAAUAUUGAAAGAAGGAGAGAAAAUGGAGUGAAGCAGAGAGAUGGAGUGUGAGAGAAAGUAGACUGAGAGAGAUAAAGAGAAAGAUGGAGAGAUGGAGAGAAAAAGAAGUAGAGAAUGGAAGGUGUCUCUUAAUAUUCCUAGUUAUACAGUUGAAUGGAGAGGGACAGAGAGAAGAGGAGCCUUGGAACCUUGGCGCAGGUGUCAGUGAAGCACAGGUGCAAGCCAGUUUAAAGACC